AUUGAACGCUGGCGGCAGGCCUAACACAUGCAAGUCGAGCGAGCGGCGGACGGGUGAGUAAUGUAUGGGGACUGACCGAUAGAGGGGGAUAACUACUGGAAACGGUAGCUACUACCGCAUACUAUCGGAUAACCCAUAUGGGAUUAGCUAGUUGGUGAGGUAAUGGCUCACCUAGGCGACGAUCCGUAGCUGGUCUGAGAGGCUGCUCAGGAACACGGGAACUGAGACACGGCCCAGAGUCCUACGGAGGACGCAGUGGGGAAUAUUGGACAAUGGGCGCAAGCCUGAGGCAGCCAGGCCGCGUGUGUGAAGAAGGUCGUAGGAUUGUAAAGUACUUUCAGUCGGGAGGCGUUACCGACAGAAGAAGCACCGGCUAACUCCGUGCCAGCAGCCGCGGUAAUUC
rnacentral:rRNA from 1 species